UAGGGGCACGAGACGUUGGUGGGACAGAGAUAUAAAAGCAAGUGCACAACAGUCUUCAGAUAGACUGCGGCCCGCUACCAGGGCAGUCACUCCUGAUACCAAGGAACUUACCAAGGCAAACCAAAAGUGCCGCUGGCGCAGUCGAUGCAAUGCAUAUACCUUGCUAUUGUAUGCAUCCCCGUUGAAUUAAUGGACCAAACCAUAAUUGACCUAGAUGUUUUACUACGUUUACUACGAUGUUGACAAACGAUUAACGUACCAAAAAGGGGG
rnacentral:lncRNA from 1 species